CGAGCACUCAGUAAGAAAGGAUAGCUUUUCUCCCUUUUCUGCUUCGCUCCCAACUAAGAAUGCAGAGUCAGGGAGAUGGCGCAGAGACAAUGCUGCUGUCCAUUGAAGCCCUCCAAAGGUCGGAGAUUCGAUCACAGGACAGCCUGGCCUGGACCAAGUCAGGUUGAUAUGGCUAGGCGGCCUGCUGGCGAGAUAGUGGGAGUGGGCGGUCCGCCCCUCAGGACCUCUGACUUGGACAGAUGACUGGAUGACUCUCUGGGGCAGCAUUCACCGGAACUCAUAUGGAGGGGACUGCCUGAGAAACCAACCUGUGUGCCUGGGUCAGGUUGAUAUGGCUAGGCGGCCUGCUGGCGAGAUAGUGGGAGUGGGCGGCCCGCCCCUCAGGACCUCUGACCUGGACAGAUGACUGGAUGACUCUCUGGGGCAGCAUUCACCGGAACUCAUAUGGAGAGGACUGCCUGAGAAACCAACCUGUGUGCCUGGGUCAGGUUGAUAUGGCUAGGCGGCCUGCUGGCGAGAUAGUGGGAGUGGGCGGUCCGCCCCUCAGGACCUCUGAUUUGGACAGAUGACUGGAUGACUCUCUGGGGCAGCAUUCACCGGAACUCAUAUGGAGGGGACUGCCUGAGAAACCAACCUGUGUGCCUGGGUCAGGUUGAUAUGGCUAGGCGGCCUGCUGGCGAGAUAGUGGGAGUGGGCGGUCCGCCCCUCAGGACCUCUGACUUGGACAGAUGACUGGAUGACUCUCUGGGGCAGCAUUCACCGGAACUCAUAUGGAGGGGGCUGCCUGAGAAACCAACCUGUGUGCCUGGGUCAGGUUGAUAUGGCUAGGCGGCCUGCUGGCGAGAUAGUGGGAGUGGGCGGUCCGCCCCUCAGGACCUCUGACUUGGACAGAUGACUGGAUGACUCUCUGGGGCAGCAUUCACCGGAACUCAUAUGGAGGGGGCUGCCUGAGAAACCAACCUGUGUGCCUGGGUUGAUAUGGCUAGGCGGCCUGCUGGCGAGAUAGUGGGAGUGGGCGGUCCGCCCCUCAGGACCUCUGACUUGGACAGAUGACUGGAUGACUCUCUGGGGCAGCAUUCACCGGAACUCAUAUGGAGGGGGCUGCCUGAGAAACCAACCUGUGUGCCUGGGUCAGGUUGAUAUGGCUAGGCGGCCUGCUGGCGAGAUAGUGGGAGUGGGCGGUCCGCCCCUCAGGACCUCUGACUUGGACAGAUGACUGGAUGACUCUCUGGGGCAGCAUUCACCGGAACUCAUAUGGAGGGGGCUGCCUGAGAAACCAACCUGUGUGCCUGGCCCACCACCUACCAGAGGUAUUGGAAAAGAACGGAUACGGAGGAAGUGGACCCAUUUAGAGUUUUCAGGUUUGAAAAAAGGAUGGAAAAGAACUCAAAUUCAGAGAAUCCCAUUUCUUCAGAUGCUUCUGUCAGGACUCCAUGUCAAUCUCAACUCCUUCAUUCUUGUCCUCAAGUGUUUCUGUCAGGCUGUUUGCACUCACAUCUUCAAGAGCUGCCAGAUCAAGAGAGGGCAGAGGGUUCCUCCAAUACUGGAAUGUAUUAUACUGCCAAAACUCUUCAGGCUGCUGGCUGUGCACCCGGUCGGCUACCUGCGGGCUUCCCGCGUUUUCUACUCUGUCGCCGCCGCCCGCAGCCCGGGGUUCCUCCUGCUCGCCAGGAGGCGGCUCUCCGGGCUCCCGGCUACAGCCCUGCAGCUCCUGUCUGUCGUCCCCGCCAUGAUCCCCGCGUCCCCCUGGCGCUUGAGGGGCCGAGCCGUCCCAGACGGCGGGACCCAGAGCGGCGGCUCCUCGGGGAAGUCGCUGAGCAGGAGCCGCUUCCAAGGCACGCGGAACGUGAGCGGCUCAGCCGCACGCCGCUUGGCCAUGGGCCAGGGACGAGGGUCGCACGGGUGUCGGCCGAGGGCGGAGGGCGAAGGGCAGCCAAGACAUCUUAUGCCAUCACAUUCUCUAAUGACUGAUUAAAAAUAUAAAUCAUUUGCA
rnacentral:lncRNA from 1 species